rnacentral:rRNA from 1 species
UACGUAGGGGGCUAGCGUUGUCCGGAAUCAUUGGGCGUAAAGAGCGUGUAGGCGGUCUGGUAAGUCCGCUGUGAAAGUCGGGGGCUCAACCCUCGAAUGCCGGUGGAUACUGUCGGGCUAGAGUGCGGAAGGGGCGAGUGGAAUUCCUGGUGUAGCGGUGAAAUGCGCAGAUAUCAGGAGGAACACCUAUUGCGAAGGCAGCUCGCUGGGACGUAACUGACGCUGAGACGCGAAAGCGUGGGGAGCAAACAGG